UAUGUAGGCGGAAUGGAAAGUCAGAAGUGAAAGCCCGGGGCUUAACCCCGGAAUUGCUUUUGAAACUUCCAUUCUAGAGUUCUGGAGAGGCAAGGGGAAUUCCGAGUGUAGAGGUGAAAUUCGCAGAUAUUCGGAGGAACACCAGUGGCGUAGGCGCCUUGCUGGACAGAUACUGACGCUGAGAUACGAAAGCGUGGGGAGCAAACA
rnacentral:rRNA from 1 species